CCUACGGGUGGCUGCAGUGAGGAAUAUUGGUCAAUGGGCGCGAGCCUGAACCAGCCAAGUAGCGUGAAGGAUGACUGCCCUACGGGUUGUAAACUGCUUUUAUAAAGGAAUAAAGUGAGGCAAGUGUGCGUUGUUGAAUGUACUGUAUGAAUAAGGAUCGGCUAACUCCGUGCCAGCAGCCGCGGUAAGACGGAGGAGCCGAGAGGUAUCCGGAUUUAUUGGGUUUAAAGGGAGCGUAGAGGGGUUGUUAAGUCAGUUGUGAAAGUUUGCGGCUCAACCGCAAAAUUGCAAUUGAUACUGGCAGUCUAGAGUACAGUUGAGGCAGGCGGAAUUCGUGGUGUAGCGGUGAAAUGCUUAGAUAUCACGAAGAACUCCGAUUGCGAAGGCAGCUUACUAGACUGCCACUGACAUUGAUGCUCGAAAGUGUGGGUAUCAAACAGGAUUAGAUACCCGUGUAGUC
rnacentral:rRNA from 1 species